rnacentral:sRNA from 2 species
AUCCGGGGCCCGGCCCCGGCAUAAUAAUAAUGAUGAAAUUCCUCUUUGACGGGCCAAUAGCGAUAUUGGCCAUUUUUUU